ACUAAAUAGAUACCCUGGUAGUCCACGCCCUAAACGAUGUCUACUAGUUGUUGGUGGAGUAAAAUCCAUGAGUAAACGCAGCUAAACGCGUGAAGUAGACCGCCUGGGGAGUACGGUCGCAAGAUUAAAACUCAAAGGAAUUGACGGGGGCCCGGCACAAGCGGUGGAUUAUGUGGAUUAAAUUCGAUGCAACGCGAAAAACCUUACCUGGCCUUGACAUGCCACUAACGAAGCAGAGAUGCAUUAGGUGCCCGUAAGGGAAAGUGGACACAGGUGCUGCAUGGCUGUCGUCAGCUCGUGUCGUGAGAUGUUGGGUUAAGUCCCGCAACGAGCGCAACCC
rnacentral:rRNA from 1 species